rnacentral:tRNA from 1 species
UCCGGAAUGGUGUAGUGGCUAGCAUUUCUGCCUCUCAUGAACGUAUGUACGCAGGAGACCGGGGUUCAAUUCCCCGUUUCGGAA